UACUAUCAUUACAAUGAAAAGACACUCAUUACAGUAUAAUUAAUACCGUCAUAGAAUCAUCCUCAUUUACUGUCUUCAUCAUCAUCAUUAUCACCGCCAUCGUCUUCAUCAUGUUUCUGAGUCUCUCUCAGUUUCAGGCCACGUGGGGGCAGCAGUGAGCUUCACCAGUGAAGGAGGGGCGUGGCUUCGGAGAGCUAACCACACCCUUACUGUAGAUGUGUAUUUCUGGGGGGAAAUCCUCAUCCACAGGUUUGUCCAAGCCCAGUGGUUGAAGUGUUAGUCUGCUGAAGUUAUUUAAGAUGCAACAACUGAAACAGAACUUUUUUUUUUUGGUGUUCUUACAAAACCAACUUGUUUUCCCGCUGAACAUCAAUAACAUAUGUUUGUAAAUAGCUUUGAUUUCUUAUGACUGUGUGUAUUUCACAAAAACUCGUGUCUCUUUGCCGUUCAUUUAAAUUCCCUUGUACAUAUUUUGUUUCUCAAUUUCAGGAGCUUUUAUUUUGUCAUUUGUCUUUUUAUUUUGACACUUUGACACCGGAGUGUCACUUCCUGGUCAUCACGCUGUUAGCCUCGGACUGUGGAGGAGCUGCCGAGUUCAGAGUUGGUGUAGAAACUUCCACACAGAUAAAGAGUGCAUGUCUGAGCGCGUGGACGUCGGGCAUGUUCAUGACACUUUGGAAAUUCCAGUCUGUCCAUCAGGAGAAUGACUUUGUCUUUUUCAUCAUUUUGGUUUGUUUGAAAGGAGCAGAAAGUGAGACGGGAUAAUCUGCAAUCACUAAUCUCUGUCCAAACAGAGACGGGCUCCACAAGGACAGACACAUUCACCUCAACGGCGCCACCUUACCUUUUUCCUGCUGCAUCGGGGUCAAUGACCUUGGCCUCCUCUGUCAACAUCAUACAGUGUCUCUCUGUUUGUGAGCUGUGUCUUCAUGUCCUCCAUCUGUUCAAGUGCAGCACCAGGAGGAACCAGAGCUCUGGAACCUUUUGUGUUUUAUCUGUUUCCAGUUAAUUUUUUGUUUAAUGACACGUAAAAUGUCAACGUCUCUGGGGCCGAUGUAACCAUUCGUUCAGACACAGGGUGUAUAGAGGUCAGGCAGAAGGUCUUCUGCUUUCUGACUCAGGGGAAUUCCUGUGUAUAUGUUCCUGCAGGCUUGUGUUUGUGUGUUUCCAGGAACCUCAACAUGCAGAGGUUCAGGAAUCAGCCCUGAUGGAGAAUGACAUGGACUCCUGUGGAGAAUAGGUGAGGCUUUUAACCAGAGGGUAACCGUCAAGGCCAGUGAGGCCCUCUGCUGGUCACGGGUGGAUUUCAUGGUCAAAUAAUCAGAGAAUUGAGUUCAAAGAAGAAGUU